UACAAGUAGUCAGAGCCCGUUAAUGGGUGAUGGCGUGCCUUUUGUAGAAUGAACCGGCGAGUUACGAUUUGAUGCAAGGUUAAGCAGUAAAUGUGGAGCCGUAGCGAAAGCGAGUCUGAAUAGGGCGUUUAGUAUUUGGUCGUAGACCCGAAACCAGGUGAUCUACCCUUGGUCAGGUUGAAGUUCAGGUAACACUGAAUGGAGGACCGAACCGACUUACGUUGAAAAGUGAGCGGAUGAACUGAGGGUAGCGGAGAAAUUCCAAUCGAACCUGGAGAUAGCUGGUUCUCUCCGAAAUAGCUUUAGGGCUAGCCUCAAGUGAUGAUUAUUGGAGGUAGAGCACUGUUUGGACGAGGGGCCCCUCUCGGGUUACCGAAUUCAGACAAACUCCGAAUGCCAAUUAAUUUAACUUGGGAGUCAGAACAUGGGUGAUAAGGUCCGUGUUCGAAAGGGAAACAGCCCAGACCACCAGCUAAGGUCCCAAAAUAUAUGUUAAGUGGAAAAGGAUGUGGCGUUGCCCAGACAACUAGGAUGUUGGCUUAGAAGCAGCCAUCAUUUAAAGAGUGCGUAAUAGCUCACUAGUCGAGUGACACUGCGCCGAAAAUGUACCGGGGCUAAACAUAUUACCGAAGCUGUGGAUUGUCCUUUGGACAAUGGUAGGAGAGCGUUCUAAGGGCGUUGAAGCAUGAUCGUAAGGACAUGUGGAGCGCUUAGAAGUGAGAAUGCCGGUGUGAGUAGCGAAAGACGGGUGAGAAUCCCGUCCACCGAUUGACUAAGGUUUCCAGAGGAAGGCUCGUCCGCUCUGGGUUAGUCGGGUCCUAAGCUGAGGCCGACAGGCGUAGGCGAUGGAUAACAGGUUGAUAUUCCUGUACCACCUAUAAUCGUUUUAAUCGAUGGGGGGACGCAGUAGGAUAGGCGAAGCGUGCGAUUGGAUUGCACGUCUAAGCAGUAAGGCUGAGUAUUAGGCAAAUCCGGUACUCGUUAAGGCUGAGCUGUGAUGGGGAGAAGACAUUGUGUCUUCGAGUCGUUGAUUUCACACUGCCGAGAAAAGCCUCUAGAUAGAAAAUAGGUGCCCGUACCGCAAACCGACACAGGUAGUCAAGAUGAGAAUUCUAAGGUGAGCGAGCGAACUCUCGUUAAGGAACUCGGCAAAAUGACCCCGUAACUUCGGGAGAAGGGGUGCUCUUUAGGGUUAACGCCCAGAAGAGCCGCAGUGAAUAGGCCCAAGCGACUGUUUAUCAAAAACACAGGUCUCUGCUAAACCGUAAGGUGAUGUAUAGGGGCUGACGCCUGCCCGGUGCUGGAAGGUUAAGAGGAGUGGUUAGCUUCUGCGAAGCUACGAAUCGAAGCCCCAGUAAACGGCGGCCGUAACUAUAACGGUCCUAAGGUAGCGAAAUUCCUUGUCGGGUAAGUUCCGACCCGCACGAAAGGCGUAACGAUUUGGGCACUGUCUCAACGAGAGACUCGGUGAAAUCAUAGUACCUGUGAAGAUGCAGGUUACCCGCGACAGGACGGAAAGACCCCGUGGAGCUUUACUGUAGCCUGAUAUUGAAAUUCGGCACAGCUUGUACAGGAUAGGUAGGAGCCUUUGAAACGUGAGCGCUAGCUUACGUGGAGGCGCUGGUGGGAUACUACCCUAGCUGUGUUGGCUUUCUAACCCGCACCACUUAUCGUGGUGGGAGACAGUGUCAGGCGGGCAGUUUGACUGGGGCGGUCGCCUCCUAAAAGGUAACGGAGGCGCUCAAAGGUUCCCUCAGAAUGGUUGGAAAUCAUUCAUAGAGUGUAAAGGCAUAAGGGAGCUUGACUGCGAGACCUACAAGUCGAGCAGGGUCGAAAGACGGACUUAGUGAUCCGGUGGUUCCGCAUGGAAGGGCCAUCGCUCAACGGAUAAAAGCUACCCCGGGGAUAACAGGCUUAUCUCCCCCAAGAGUUCACAUCGACGGGGAGGUUUGGCACCUCGAUGUCGGCUCAUCGCAUCCUGGGGCUGUAGUCGGUCCCAAGGGUUGGGCUGUUCGCCCAUUAAAGCGGUACGCGAGCUGGGUUCAGAACGUCGUGAGACAGUUCGGUCCCUAUCCGUCGUGGGCGUAGGAAAUUUGAGAGGAGCUGUCCUUAGUACGAGAGGACCGGGAUGGACAUACCUCUGGUGUACCAGUUGUCGUGCCAACGGCAUAGCUGGGUAGCUAUGUGUGGACGGGAUAAGUGCUGAAAGCAUCUAAGCAUGAAGCCCCCCUCAAGAUGAGAUUUCCCAACUUCGGUUAUAAGAUCCCUCAAAGAUGAUGAGGUUAAUAGGUUCGAGGUGGAAGCAUGGUGACAUGUGGAGCUGACGAAUACUAAUCGAUCGAAGACUUAAUCAA
rnacentral:rRNA from 4 species